AAAUCCGGAAGUAAUGUUUUUUUUAUUAAGCCUAAUGGUAUAGUGUAAAAGUGACUAUUUGCAUGUAUUAUUUCCAUUAUGAGAAUCGUUUUUUCUUGCUAAAACUUGUAAUAGAUAUAGUAAUUUUUGUAUAAUAUGUAUGAAGGCUGUUUAUGCAAGUAGUAUUCUAAAUACUGUAUUCCUGUGACAGGUGUGUAUUAUGAUUAUUGUAGACAUCUUGAAUGUUGAGACUGAUGUAUCAGCAGUAGCUAAACAGUUACAUUGAAGUUCACAAGUUGAUUUAAGUAAGUAUACCUGGUAGGUCAUUAUGUUCCUGGAAAAAUGUCACCAGGUAAACUAUUUCUGAUAUGUGUUCAGAUGUAUUCCGUUGUGCAUUGUGAUUGAGACUUUGGGGCUGUAUGCCGUUGGAAAAUAAAUGGUGACCUGACAUCUCUCUCUCUCUGUUUUAGGGUAUAUUGUUGUGAGGCUGACAACUUGGCGAGCGUGCCAGGAUCAGCAUAUGUUGCUUGAAGUCCACCACGACAAUAUUGAAGAUGUCAGAGACAGAGUGGAGCAUCAAAUCCCGGAUGUUCAGUCUGGAUGUUGGUGUGUUGACAGAAUCGCUGGAGCAGCUUGGAAUACCUGUCAAGGCUGGUAUCGACAAAUCAACGUGUUUGACAACUUUAGAAUCCUAUAAUGUCGUAAUGAUCCAAGCAAUGGGGGAAAAGGAAAUGCACCCCUACCAGCUGCUGUAGCUGAAAAGCAAAGAGGUUCCUGUCAUGAACCCAAGACCGUGACCACAUCACCGCCAACAAUUGUGAGGGUAGCAGAUGUUAAGGAGUUCAAGAUUCAUGAAUCUGUCAUGAAGCAAGAAAUAGGUUUCAUCAACUUGAUAUGACUGAGGCAGGAGAAGAAAGGGGUUACAGUACUGUUGAGAUUAUUGAUGGUGUUCUUCGAGCCAUUCCACCAUCAGAGUUACUGAGGUGAUACAUUGAAGGAAAGGCUGAUCGUAGUUUACCCAUUUUCAGGAAGCUUCUCCGAACAGUCUCUGAGGAAAAAUCUGCGACAAAACUUUAUCAGGAACUUAGUUGUGGUGUUCAAGGGGAAAACGAAGAAACUUUAGAUUUGGUUCGGAGGAUUCUUGACUUGAGUCAAAAAUAAAUUUCUCCUGCAAAGAGGAUGGAUCUGAUAUAAGGUAUGACCAGAACCUGAUGAUAAGUAUGACCCUGAGAACAAUACACACUGGCUUGAGAGACGCCAUUAUUGCACAAGAAUUGAGGAACACUCUGUCAUCUAAUCCUCUGGAUCAUGAGAUCAUUGGUCAGGUUGGCGCUGCUGCGUCUGCCGAGAAGGAGCGGAAAAGGAAGAGCACACGUGUUGCUGAUGUUAGGUCUGUAGUGUUUGAGGAAUCAAAGGAUGAAACAAGUGAACUGUUAGGCGACAGUGAACUGGCUGUCUAGGCUGCCAAUGGGGAGAACAUACCCUUUGAAGGAUGUGUCGAAGUAUCAUUCGAACUGAUGAAGGGAACCACUGAUCAGAAAUUUUCUUUUCCAUUUUUAGUUACUAAGAUGUCCAGCAUCACUACCCCAAUCAUAGGUAUUAAUGUGAUCGAGCAAUAUCUCUUCAGUCAUGCAGAGUGUAGCAGAGUCAAUGUCAUACAAUCAGGACUGCCAGCAAUUAGGAAAGAAAAACUGGAAGCUGUAGUUAAGCUGUUGCAAGAGGAGCGACCUGAUGCAAUAUGUGACUUUCACAGUGAAAGACCAGUAUUACUUGUCAAAGCUGGUCAAGUGUUACAAGGGAAGUUCAUAGUCGCCACUAAUGUAAGUGAACCCACCACUGUCUUGUUGGAACCAAACAUUAAGGAACCUUGGCCUGUUGGACUGAAGAUUCAAGGAUCGCUUCUUAGGUUGAAGAGAUUCACCAAAACAAACAUUCCGGUAAUGUUAAUGAACUGUACUAGUCAUGACAUUAAAGUUCACAGCAGGUCAUGUCUUGGUACACUGCAUCAAGUGAGAUCUGUCAUACCAUUACAAGGUGAGAACGAGCCAGAUCCUGCCCAGAAUUUAGAUGAUAUCCUGGAAUCAGAUAAAGACAUCAGACACCACAAGCAUACAAGAGCACUGGCAUCCCCCAGUAGACUUAAGUGGUGAUUUAUGUGAGGAACAACAUGAAAUGAUCAAGCAGAUGUUAUAUGAAGAGUCAGAUGUGUUCAGUAAGACAUGAUGAUAUUGGGACAAUAACUGAUUUGAAAAUGGACAUUCAACUCACUGAUGAUGUACCUGUACAGAAGUUGUAUGUGUCCAUACCGAUGCCUCUUUACAAAGAAGUUAAAGAUUAUCAAGAAGACCUUAUAAACAAGGGAUGGGUACGACACUUGAAGUCAUAUUACUUGAGCCCUCUAGUUUGUGUCAGAAGAAAGGACUCGAGUCUGAGACUAAGUGUUGACACCCUCUACCACGCAUACAGGAUGCCCUUGACAGUUUGAGUGGAAACCAAUGGUUUACCUUGCUUGAUCAGGGGAAGGCCUAUCACCAGGGCUUAUCAAGGAAAGUUGUAGACCAUAUACUGCUUUUAUAAGUCCUUGGGGGCUAUAUGAAUGGACACGCAUUCCUUUUGGUUUAACUGGAGCACCAAGUGCAUUCAAGCGCUUCAUGAACACUUGCUUACAAGGGCUGAGGGACACUAUUUGUAUUCCCUUUCUUGAUGAUGUUACAGUCUUCAGCAAAGAUUUUUCACAACAUGUAGAAGAUGUAAGGACUGUCUUGCAACGGUUAAAGGAAUCUGGGGUUAAACUAAAACCUCGUAAGUGCAAUCUAUUUAAGAAACAGGUGCGCUACCUUGGACACAUUGUCUCAGAACAUGGCAUUCAGAUGGACCCAAGAGACAAGGAAGCUGUUCUUAAUCUCAAAUCUAUCCAACCAGCUACAGUGGGAGAUGUGAGGAGACUAUUAGGAUUCAUUGGUAACUACCGUAAAUACAUUCCAGAUUACUCUCGCAGAGCACAGUGCUUAUUCGAACUGCUGUGUUGUUCCGACUCCAAUACUGUAGACAAAGGUGUGAAGGUGCGAUGGGAAAAGAAUGGUCAGUUGUCCUCAAGUCACAAAAUCACAUGGACAGAUGAACAUAAACAGAUUCUGCAUGGUAUCAUAGAUGACUUGUUAACUGAAAAGGUGAUGGCUUACCCUGACUGGGAGAAAGAGUUUGUAUUGCAUGUUGAUGCCUCUCAAGAAGGACUGGGUGCCAUUCUGUAUCAGUCACAGGAAAAUAGAAAAUUAGCUGUUGUUGCAUAUGGAUCACGAUCACCGUCUCCAGCAGAAUAGAACUACCAUGCUCGUUCAGGGAAGUUGGAGUUUCUUGCUCUAAAAUGGGCAAUAACAGAACGGUUCAGGGACUAUUUGUACUAUGCACCCAUCUUCACAGUCUUUAGUGACAACAACCCUCUGACUUAUAUUCUUCCUUCAGCUUAGUUGGAUGGUACCAGACACAGAUGGGUAGCAAAAUUGGCUGACUAUAAAUUUUCAAUUAAAUACAAGCCUGGGAAGAAGAACUUUGAUGCAGAUAGACUGAGCAGAAUGCCAUCAGAUAUUGACCAGUAUAUGUUUGAGUGUGUCUGUGAAAUAAAUCAAGAAGCAAUUGAAAUGUCAAAUCAGGUUACCAAUGCUAGGGAAGAGGGUGACAUUGUCUGGAUUUCAUCAAUCACUGAUGACCAUACUUGUCUUUCUGAAGUUGUCUCCUCUUCCAGCUGCAAGCCUACUUUCCAUUGUUUUAGUGCUGAGGACAUCAACAAGACGAUGAACACAUCAGACCAGUAUUGAAAAGCAAACAGAAGAAAAGGAAACCCAAUAGGAUGACUAAACACAGGACAGAAACCAUGGACCUGGAAGAAACUCUGUCUUAAUACGGAUAGCGUUCUGUGUAGAAGAACAGUGUUGUAGUGAAGAAAGGACUCAAAUAGUACUUCCCUAGCAAUUUAGGGCAGCAAUUUAGGGCACUUGUGUUAAAAGAACUUCACAAUGAAAUGGGGCACGUUGGUUCAGAAAGAGUUGUGGCACUGGUGAGAGAGAGAUUCUAUUGGCACAGGCAAGCGAAUGUCGAACGUUAUGUCACUAAGGAAUGCACUUGUCUCAAAGACCGCACGCCAACAAUUCCAACAAAAGCACCACUGAAACCAAUAUCAACAUCUGCAUCCUUUCAACUGGUGUCUAUUGACUUUCCUCAUUUGGAAAGAAGCACAGGUGGCUAUAAGUACAUUUUAGUUGUGUGCGACCACUUUACUAGAUUUGCACAAGCAUAUGCAUCGCGAAACAAAUCAGCGAAGACUGCUGCAGAGAAAAUUUUCAAAGACUCAAAUUUUGGUUUCCAGCCAAACUGCACCAUGAUCAAGGUGCAGAAUUUGAAAAUCAGCUCUUUCAUCAUCUGCAGAAAUAUUGUCGCAUGGCCAGAUCGAGAACAACUCUGUAUCAUCCGGAGGGGAAUGGACAGGUAGAAUGCUCCAAAAAAACAUUGUUGGGUAUGCUUCGUACCUUGCCCAGCCAAAUGAAAAGAAACUGGAAAGAUCAUUUAAAUAAAGUAGUCCAUGCAUACAACUGCACUCGAAAUGAUGCUACCAGUUACUCACCUUUCUGUCUACUCUUUGGGCGAUCACCUCGUACCAGUGGACCUAAUGUUUGGACUUGGUAACAAGAUUUAAACAGUGAUCCUAACAAAUAUGUGAACCAGUGGCGACAAUGCAUGCAACAAGCAUAUGAUCAAGCAAAUGUGAUUGCCGAUGAGAAUGCAUGAAAGGGAAAGAAGCAAUAUGAUAAGGAGAGAAGCACUACUUUGAUGACUGGUGAUCUCAUGCUUUUGAGAAACAUGUCUGAAAGAGGUGGUCCGGCAAAGUUGAAAUCUUAUUGGGAACCAAAGAUUCACAUUGUGAAUAAGCAAUUAGUGGGUGACAGUCCUGUAUAUGAAGUGAGACCUGAAGGUGGAAUUGGAUGGACUAGAGUUCUACACAGAAACAAGGUGCUUCCUUGUGAUGGACGUCCAGUUGACAAGAUUGUUGACAGAGCAAAAGCCCAGAAAGCUGGAACUCAAACGCUCCGGAUGAAAAAGCACAUUGUCGAUUAUGAGCACUCAGGGACGGACAGUGAUUCUUCAGAAGGCAGUGGCCAAGUGGAGAUCGAUGUGAAGGAAGUUCAUCCUGAGAAGCAUUUUGCUGCGUCAGAAAAUGCCAAUGAAACACACAACACCCAGUAUCAAGUCGGUCGACGGAUCAUGGUUCUAAUAGUGUUGAGGAUCGAGAUGAUACUGAUGUGAGUGCAAGUGAGCAGUCACCAGAUGGUGACAAUUCUGUGAGGACCUGUGACCAAAUAGAUCUACAGCUACAAUCAACAGAGAGUGAGGAAGAGUCCACAGAUUUUCAUUAUGCCGAUGAUGAAGCAGAGGUGAGGAAGUCACAACGACGAAAGAAAUGUCCAGUCAAACUGACAUAUGCCACAAAGCCAACUGAAUGUGAACAGAAAACAAACCUGAACCUUUUCGACUUGCACCGUGGUACCUGUUUCAUGGUAUUACCCAUACCAAGUACUGUUAACACCAGUGAUACAUAACCCAUGGUUCCAUCCAGAGAGACCUUUACAAGUGAUGAAUGAACUAACAUUGAAACUUCACUAUGAGCACAAUGGGUAUAUUGUUGUGAGGCUGACAACUUGGCGAGCGUGCCAGGAUCAGCAUAUGUUGCUUGAAGUCCACCACGACAACAUUGAAGAUGUCAGAGACAGAGUGGAGCAAUUGCUUAUGGACUACAAGUGUGAUCACCAUGCGUUAGUCUAGAACAUAGCCAGAAAAUAGCAGAAAAGGAGCAACUAAACAAACAAAAUGUUGUAACAAAUAAUGUAUUUCAUUAACAUAAAGAAAACAGCCAAAAAAAACAGAUGAAUUUUAUGUAUUUCCUAAAUAUUGUAACAAAUGCCUCAACAGUCCUAAAAUGAUUCAUAAAUGUUUUGUAUAUAAGUAUAUACAUAUGUGUUUAGAGUUCACUGCCUAAUCAUCCUUCUUCUUAAACACACUCUUGACUCUUCUGAAGAAGUUGGCCACCCUGGAUAGCAAGGCCUUCAGGAAGGAGUGGGUUGGCUGGAUGAUCUCCUCAUCCACGAGAUCUACUUCAACAAAGUCAGUGUCGUCCACGAUGUACUGACCAGCGAUAGUGAGGGACACAGAAGGGACAGUGCUGGGGCGAAGGGUCUGUGGGACGGGCAGGUGAGACAAGUGGGCAGGGAUGGUCAGGGACUUUGAAGUGGGUUGCUAUAGAUAGGGAGGUAGUGGAAAGAAUGGAAUGUGAGGAAUGAAUAUUAUGUAGAUGGAAAAAGUUAGUCAAUCAUUGAAUUUUAUUGCAGCAAAUAAAAGAUUAUGGUGGUAAAGACAGAAAA